rnacentral:lncRNA from 1 species
UUCGAACCUGUUGCGUUUCGUAUCCACGUUGUUAGUGCGCAUUUGAUACGCGGAUAGAUUAGGAGCUGUAGUUUAUUUGUAUCGCCGCAGUUUGUUGGCAGUCAAUACCGAGAAUAGUGUAGAAUACAGUUACGCUCGUGCUGGGAUGCUGAGCUUACUUUUACAGCAGUGUUUAGACUGUUUCGGACUGUCGGGUGCCGUUAAGGUUGACGUAGACCCAGAUUGCUGUUUUUACAUCAGAUUGUACCGAGAGCACGUGAGUUUGGGUGUUAGACCCUAUUUACUUGAUUAUAGCCUGUGAGAGCCUGAUUGAGCUCGACAGAGAUACGCUUGCAUAUUCGGUUGGGUAGCGCCUACGAGUGCCAUUCCGGAGUCGUGCUUUGUGCAUUUACGUUGGUGUCGUUGUGUCCUGGUUGGA